GAGCUGUGCCAGAAACUUAUUACCAACCGCCGGUGCAACAGGAUUUCUGGCUGCGGUUCCAGCUUCACACAGUGUAGUUGUGCAGAUUUGAAUUACCCGCGGUUCUGGACCGCUGCCUGCAACCAUGGUGCGGCGAGGAUGCAGUAAUUCAAUUGACCGAUUUGGGCAUUGCUUUUGCAGUAUCUCAUUUCCCAGUGUUCAGUGCACUCCCCUCGAAAUCCUUCACUCGACGCCCUAGAUUUCCUUCCCUCCUCUCCGCCGCACGAAACCCUCCUGCUCGGCCGAAUGAAUCCUUUGGGAGUUUGAUCAAGAGCACGAGCUUUGAUGCUUGAACUCGUUUCACAGCCGCCAAUCCUCGUGUCUUUUGAAGUUUGAACUCAUUUCACGAGAUUUGAAGUUUCAGAACUCGCUUCAGAGAAAGGAUUAUAGGGAAAGUCAAAGUGUGAAACUGGAUGCUGUGCCAUGGCUUUAACAGUAGUUUCCUGUGGGUUGGAUUUUCAGAAAGGUCAAGGAUAUGAUCUCUAGUACAAAUCACAGUAAAUGAAAAUAAAGUUCAGUGUAGAAUGAUUUUGAAAACAGGAUUCUAUGGAUGGAUGGUGAAUGGGAAACAAACCCCAGAAGAACCAUGGAGGCUGAAAUUGAUGGGAAAGACAUAAAUAGAAUAGGGAAAUUGGAAUUCUAAUUACAGCUGCAGCUGCCUGUGCUGGACAGCAUGCUUGCUAUACUCUGCUGUUGUAGUUUCACAAACAAUUGACAUUUUAGAAACCAUAGAUGGAAGUAUCUUGACCCAGUUCAAUCAAAUUCAAUAGAGCUUGGCAGGCUACUGGUAAUGCAAAUGGAUAUGGGCAUCUGCUGAAUUGGUUUAAGCUGUUUGGUACUUAUUCUGUGAGAGAGAAGGUUACAGACACGAGUCUUUUUAAUGGACAAAAGUGUUAUUUAACUCUUCAAGUUGUGUUUCUUUAGGUGUAGCGGGUAAAAUUGAAAUGAUAUUCUGUGUUACAAGACA